UUUAUACUCUCUCUGUUUGGAAAUACUUGUGGGAGGAAUGAAUGUAUCUAGAUGUAUUUUAGUUCUAGAUACAUCCAUUUGUAUGUAUUUCUUCGACAAGUAUUUCCGGGCGGAGGGAGUAUUAU
rfam:Triticum aestivum genome assembly, contig: Triticum_aestivum_CS42_TGACv1_scaffold_147020_2BS